AAGACUGUACUUUCAGGGAUCAUUUCUAUAGUUGGUUACAAUUCUAUACCGAGUGACCGGAGUGGGGUCACUGAAUUGUACAUAUGAGC
rnacentral:snoRNA from 1 species